rnacentral:rRNA from 1 species
AGCUAGUUGGUGAGGUAAUGGCCCACCAAGGCGACGAUCGGUAGCCGGACUGAGAGGUUGAACGGCCACAUUGGGACUGAGACACGGCCCAGACUCCUACGGGAGGCAGCAGUGGGGAAUAUUGCACAAUGGGGGAAACCCUGAUGCAGCGACGCCGCGUGGAGGAAGAAGGUCUUCGGAUUGUAAACUCCUGUUGUUGAGGAAGAUAAUGACGGUACUCAACAAGGAAGUGACGGCUAACUACGUGCCAGCAGCCGCGGUAAAACGUAGGUCACAAGCGUUGUCCGGAAUUACUGGGUGUAAAGGGAGCGCAGGCGGGAAGGCAAGUUGGAAGUGAAAUCCAUGGGCUCAACCCAUGAACUGCUUUCAAAACUGUUUUUCUUGAGUAGUGCAGAGGUAGGCGGAAUUCCCGGUGUAGCGGUGGAAUGCGUAGAUAUCGGGAGGAACACCAGUGGCGAAGGCGGCCUACUGGGCACCAACUGACGCUGAGGCUCGAAAGUGUGGGUAGCAAACAGGAUUAGAUACCCUGGUAGUCCACACUGUAAACGAUGAUUACUAGGUGUUGGAGGAUUGACCCCUUCAGUGCCGCAGUUAACACAAUAAGUAAUCCACCUGGGGAGUACGACCGCAAGGUUGAAACUCAAAGGAAUUGACGGGGGCCCGCACAAGCAGUGGAGUAUGUGGUUUAAUUCGACGCAACGCGAAGAACCUUACCAAGUCUUGACAUCCUGCGACGGUGCUGGAAACAGUACUUUCCUUCGGGACGCAGAGACAGGUGGUGCAUGGUUGUCGUCAGCUCGUGUCGUGAGAUGUUGGGUUAAGUCCCGCAACGAGCGCAACCCUUAUGGUCAGUUACUACGCAAGAGGACUCUGGCCAGACUGCCGUUGACAAAACGGAGGAAGGUGGGGAUGACGUCAAAUCAUCAUGCCCUUUAUGACUUGGGCUACACACGUACUACAAUGGCGUUAAACAAAGAGAAGCAAGACCGCGAGGUGGAGCAAAACUCAGAAACAACGUCCCAGUUCGGACUGCAGGCUGCAACUCGCCUGCGCGAAGUCGGAAUUGCUAGUAAUCGCAGAUCAGCAUGCUGCGGUGAAUACGUUCCCGGGCCUUGUACACACCGCCCGUCACACCAUGAGAGCCGGGGGGACCCGAAGUCGGUAGUCUAACCGCAAGGAGGACGCCGCCGAAGGUAAAACUGGUGAUUGGGGUGAAGUCGGAACAAGGUAGCCGUAGGAGAACCUGCGGCUG